AUCUGGUUGAUCCUGCCAGUAGUCAUACGCUCGUCUCAAAGAUUAAGCCAUGCAUGUGUAAGUAUAAAUAAUUCUACUUUGAAACUGCGAAUGGCUCAUUAUAUCAGUUAUAGUUUAUUAGAAGUAAUUUACUACUUGGAUAACCGUAGUAAUUCUAGGGCUAAUACAUGAGUAAAUCCUCGACUUUGAAGAGGUGUGUUUAUUAGUAUGAAAACCAUAUGCUUUUGCAUAAUAGUGAGUAAUAAUAACCUUUCAUAUCGUAUGUUGUAAUAACGAUAGUUCUUUCAAGUUUCUGCCCCAUCAGCUUUCGAUGGUAGUGCAUUGGACUACCAUGGCAGUAACGGGUAACGAAGAAUUUGGGUUCGAUUUCGGAGAGGGAGCCUGAGAGAUGGCUACCACAUCCAAGGAAGGCAGCAGGCGCGUAAAUUACCCAAUCCUGACAUAGGGAGGUAGUGACAAUAAAUCACAAUGCGGGACUUUUAGUUUUGCAAUUGGAUUGAGAACAAUGUAGAAGAGUUAUCGAUAAACAAUUGGAGGGCAAGUCUGGUGCCAGCAGCCGCGGUAAUCCAGCUCCAAUAGCCGAUA
rnacentral:rRNA from 1 species